rnacentral:rRNA from 1 species
AGCAGCCGCGGUAAUUCCAGCUCCAAUAGCGUAUAUUAAAGUUGUUGCAGUUAAAAAGCUCGUAGUUGAAUUUCGGGAUUUAUCCGUCGGUCGGGCUUUUGGGUCUGUACUGGCGUGAUGGAUUCCUACCUUCUGAAUAACCGGCAUGUCAUUAAUUUGGUGCGCUGGGGAAGCAGGACUGUUACCUUGAAAAAUUAGAGUGCUUAAAGCAGGCUAUUGCCUGAAUACAUUAGCAUGGAAUAAUGAAAUAGGACGGCAUGGUUCUAUUUUGUUGGUUUCUAGGAUCACCGUAAUGAUUAAUAGGGAUAGUUGGGGGCAUUAGUAUUCAAUUGUCAGAGGUGAAAUUCUUGGAUUUAUUGAAGACUAACUUCUGCGAAAGCAUUUGCCAAGGAUGUUUUCAUUAAUCAAGAACGAAAGUUAGGGGAUCGAAGACGAUCAGAUACCGUCGUAGUCUUAACCAUAAACUAUGCCGACUAGGGAUCGGACGAUGUUAAUUUUAUAAUGACUCAUUC